CCAUCUCGCUCGGGGCGCCCGCGAGGGCUGAGAAGAACCCGUCGAACCUGAUCCGGUUUGAACCGGCGUAGGGAAGCGAGCCAUCCAGCUC
rnacentral:ncRNA from 2 species